CUCUGUUGCACAGUCUUGUACACGCGCGAAGAUUAUUCGUUACAGAAUACUCAAAAAAAGAAGUGCAUACCUGCGAUUGUGAUUGAUCCGUUAAAAUACAAAUGUUCAAUUACCGUAAAUUCAAUCCUGAAGAACAAAAAAAUUUUUCUUCAUCUUAAUGAAUUAGAAAUCAAGACAGAAUAAAAAGAUGACGAGCAGCGAGUAAGUUUCUAAAUUAUUCGUUACGAUAUACUCAAAAUAGAAGUGCGUACCUGCGAUUGUGAUUGAUCCGUUAAAAUACAAAUGUUGUAUCACCAUAAAUUGAAUCCUGAAGAACAAAAAUUUUUUGUAUUAGACAUCAGCAUGGAAAAAACGGAGCUAACACACAUUUCAAAUACGAUUGCGUAUGGAAAGUUUACCUAUAUCAAAUGACGAAAUGGAAAUCGAAAUUUCUGAUGUGCAGCAAAAUACAAAAGUAGAAUCAAUUUUAAAUUCAAUCCUGAAGAACAAAAAAACUUUGUUACAAAAACACAUACUGAAAUGGAAAUUAGC